GACGAACGCUGGCGGCGUGCUUAACACAUGCAAGUCGAACGGAAAGGCCCUGCUUUUGUGGGGUGCUCGAGUGGCGAACGGGUGAGUAACACGUGAGUAACCUGCCCUUGACUUUGGGAUAACUUCAGGAAACUGGGACUAAUACCGGAUAGGAGCUCCUGCUGCAUGGUGGGGGUUGGAAAGUUUCGGCGGUUGGGGAUGGACUCGCGGCUUAUCAGCUUGUUGGUGGGGUAGUGGCUUACCAAGGCUUUGACGGGUAGCCGGCCUGAGAGGGUGACCGGCCACAUUGGGACUGAGAUACGGCCCAGACUCCUACGGGAGGCAGCAGUGGGGAAUAUUGCACAAUGGGCGGAAGCCUGAUGCAGCAACGCCGCGUGCGGGAUGACGGCCUUCGGGUUGUAAACCGCUUUCGCCUGUGACGAAGCGUGAGUGACGGUAAUGGGUAAAGAAGCACCGGCUAACUACGU
rnacentral:rRNA from 1 species